UACAGAAUCCCCGAGCGUUACCCGGAUUUAUUGGGCGUAAAGGGUUCGUAGGUGGUAGAGUAAGUUGCAAAUUAAACUUCAUCGGCUUAACCUUUGAACUGUUUGCAAUACUGCUAUACUAAGAGGGCGUUAGAGGCAAACGGAACCGACGGAGUAGGGGUGAAAUCCGUUGAUAUCGUCGGGAACACCAAAAGCGAAGGCAGUUUGCUGGGACGACCCUGACACUGAGGAACGAAAGCGUGGGGAGCAAAAAGG
rnacentral:rRNA from 1 species